GACGAACGCUGGCGGCGUGCUUAACACAUGCAAGUCGAACGGAAAGGCCCUGCUUUUGUGGGUUGCUCAAGUGGCGAACGGGUGAGUAACACGUGAGUAACCUGCCCGUGACUUUGGGAUAACUUCAGGAAACUGGGGCUAAUACCGGAUAGGAGCUCCUGCUGCAUGGUGGGGGUUGGAAAGUUUCGGCGGUUGGGGAUGGACUCGCGGCUUAUCAGCUUGUUGGUGGGGUAGUGGCUUACCAAGGCUUUGACGGGUAGCCGGCCUGAGAGGCUGACCGGCCACAUUGGGACUGAGGUACGGCCCAGACUGCUACGGGAGGCAGCAGUGGGGUAUAUUGCAGGAUGGGCGGAAGCCUGAUGAAGCAACGCCGCGUGCGGGAUGACGGCCUUCGGGUUGUAAACCGCUUUCGCAUGUGACGAAGCGUGAGUGACGGUAAUGGGUAAAGAAGCACCGGCUAACUACGUG
rnacentral:rRNA from 1 species